UCAACUCAUAAAGUACCCUCAGAAUGAUCAGCCAUAUACGAGGCUACCCAACCUGCAAUCUCGUUAGCUUCUCUGUAAACUUGCCUAACCUGAAACUCAACAUCACUUGGCCAAAGAUAAAGUGUCAAGAAUAAAGGGCCAUUAAUCUCUCGUGUUUCUAACAAUACGCUAGGGGUAGACUUAAUUUUUCACAUUUUUUAUUACAUGCAAGAGUGAUUGCCCAGCACGCAAGCCCUGCCAUUGCACUUACCAAUCAAAUCUCCUAGUGGUCUAGUAGCAUAUCAAAAUGACAGAGAGAAGGAAGGAGGCAUCUAGGUAGAAGGUUUGAGGAGAGCAAUGAAGUGCACAUCAAAUAGCU
rnacentral:lncRNA from 1 species